rnacentral:misc_RNA from 1 species
GAGUCUGCGGCGCGCG